rnacentral:rRNA from 1 species
UACGGGAGGCAGCAGUGGGGAAUAUUGCACAAUGGGCGCAAGCCUGAUGCAGCCAUGCCGCGUGUAUGAAAAAGGCCUUCGGGUUGUAAAGUACUUUCAGUCGUGAGGAAGGUGUUAAGGUUAAUAACCUUAGCAAUUGACGUUAGCGACAGAAGAAGCACCGGCUAACUCCGUGCCAGCAGCCGCGGUAAUACGGAGGGUGCGAGCGUUAAUCGGAAUUACUGGGCGUAAAGGGCACGCAGGCGGUUAAUUAAGUUGGAUGUGAAAUCCCCGGGCUUAACCUGGGAAUGGCAUUCAAGACUGGUUAGCUAGAGUCUUGUAGAGGGGGUAGAAUUCCAUGUGUAGCGGUGAAAUGCGUAGAGAUGUGGAGGAAUACCGGUGGCGAAGGCGGCCCCUGGACAAAAGACUGACGCUCAUGUGCGAAAGCGUGGGGAGCAAACAGG